rnacentral:rRNA from 1 species
GACGAACGCUGGCGGCGUGCCUAACACAUGCAAGUCGAACGAAGAAUGUUUUUCGGAAUAUUCUUAGUGGCGGACGGGUGAGUAACGCGUGAACAAUCUGCCCCGUACAAAGGGAUAGCCUCGGGAAACCGGGAUUAAAACCAUAUAACGCUUUAGUACCGCAUGGUAAUAAAGUCAAAUCGAUUAAGAGGUAUGGGAUGAGUUCGCGUCUGAUUAGCUAGUUGGUGAGGUAAGGGCUCACCAAGGCGACGAUCAGUAGCCGGCCUGAGAGGGUGAACGGCCACACUGGAACUGAGACACGGUCCAGACUCCUACGGGAGGCAGCAGUGGGGAAUAUUGCACAAUGGAGGGAACUCUGAUGCAGCGACGCCGCGUGAGUGAAGAAGGUCUUCGGAUCGUAAAACUCUGUCCUUGGUGAAGUAAAGGACGGUAGCCAAGGACGGAAGCCCCGGUAACUACGUG